AGAGUUUGAUCCUGGCUCAGAAUGAACGCUGGCGGCGUGCCUAACACAUGCAAGUCGGAUGUGCCGCAAGGUGCAUGGCAGACGGGUGAGUAACGCGUAGGGAAUCUACCUUUUUGUGGGGAAUAACGUUCCGAAAGGAAUGGUAAUACCGCAUAAGACCAUGGGCUGGGAUGCCGAUGGUGAAAGGUGGGGACCGCAAGGCCUACUGCCUGGAGAUGAGUCCGCGGCUGAUUAGCUUGUUGGUGGGGUAACGGCCUACCAAGGCGACGAUCGGUAGCUGGUCUGAGAGGAUGAUCAGCCACACUGGAACUGAGACACGGUCCAGACUCCUACGGGAGGCAGCAGUGGGGAAUAUUGGACAAUGGGCGCAAGCCUGAUCCAGCAAUGCCGCGUGGGUGAAGAAGGCCUUCGGGUUGUAAAGCCCUUUUGUACGGGAAGAAAUCCUGUCGGUUAAUACCCGGCGGGGAUGACGGUACCGUAAGAAUAAGCACCGGCUAACUUCGUGCCAGCAGCCGCGGUAAUACGAAGGGUGCAAGCGUUAAUCGGAAUUACUGGGCGUAAAGCGUGCGUAGGCGGUUCGUUAAGUCUGUCGUGAAAGCCCUGGGCUCAACCUGGGAAUGGCGAUGGAUACUGGCGAGCUAGAGUGUGAUAGAGGAUGGCGGAAUUCCCGGUGUAGCGGUGAAAUGCGUAGAGAUCGGGAGGAACAUCUGUGGCGAAGGCGGCCAUCUGGAUCAACACUGACGCUGAGGCACGAAAGCGUGGGGAGCAAACAGGAUUAGAUACCCUGGUAGUCC
rnacentral:rRNA from 1 species